GUAUCUUGGUCCGAGCCAGGCUUUGGGAGAGUUCGCUCUCCGACUCGGAACCGGACCUCGAGCGAGGAAAGAUAGGCUGGCCGAAUCGUCCUCGUGCUCCUCCAUCCCGCAUAGCCCGGGACGAGAGACAUGUUUUGGGGUGGACUACCUCAAAAGUCGCUUUCGUCACACGGCCGUCACUUGACGAGAUGACGUAGCCAGCAGCAACGUGUCCAAUCAGCGACAAGAACAACCACUCACUUCCGGUACACUUCUCAAAUAAAAUCAUAUCGCUCGAUUCGGUUGAUUUUAUUUUGUUGUAAGUGCUUCGAUAGUUCGCUUUUGAUUUUGAUCAAAAUUUAAAAUAAAUAAAUCAAUAAAAGUUAUUUAGCAUUCAUGUUUGUUUUCUUUCUCUCAUUUUCAAUGUAAUAAUUUUUGGAGCACAUUUAUUUAAUUUUUAGGCCAGGUUAUCUUGCAUUUAACAGUACGGCAAGUACAUAUAACAAUACUGUAUGUAUGUAUAUAACAAUAAUGUAUUUUUUAAAAUACAUUUUAAUGCUAUCCUUAGUCCAUUUUAUCUUAAGCUUUUGACUGAAUGUUUUCGAUUUGUGUUUUUCUUAUGUGAACUGGGGGAAGUAAUGAAUAUUUUAUUAUUUCCUGAUGUUGUCCUGUACUGGUUUUCCGAGGAGUCACAGGUCAGUUAAAUAUUGUAGAAGUGCAGGUAAAGACCAUUUGUUGAGUUACUAGAUAAUCCAAUUGUUUCUGGAACACUGUGAAUCCAUGAAGGGAGAGGCUCAUAUGUCUAAAUGUUCUCCUCACGCUUUUAUUAAUGAUCUCAAUACUUC